UGGGGAAUUUUGGACAAUGGGCGAAAGCCUGAUCCAGCAAUGCCGCGUGUGUGAAGAAGGCCUUCGGGUUGUAAAGCACUUUUGUCCGGAAAGAAAUCCUCUGGGUUAAUACCUCGGGGGGAUGACGGUACCGGAAGAAUAAGCACCGGCUAACUACGUGCCAGCAGCCGCGGUAAUACGUAGGGUGCAAGCGUUAAUCGGAAUUACUGGGCGUAAAGCGUGCGCAGGCGGUUUUGUAAGACGGAUGUGAAAUCCCCGGGCUUAACCUGGGAACUGCAUUCGUGACUGCAGGGCUAGAGUAUGGCAGAGGGGGGUAGAAUUCCACGUGUAGCAGUGAAAUGCGUAGAGAUGUGGAGGAAUACCGAUGGCGAAGGCAGCCCCCUGGGCCAAUACUGACGCUCAUGCACGAAAGCGUGGGGAGCAAACA
rnacentral:rRNA from 1 species